rnacentral:rRNA from 1 species
GAAGUCUGCUCCGAUUAAGAUGUGUUGGGGUAACGGCCCACCAAGCCAUUGAUCGAGUACGGGUGGUGGGAGCAAGAGCCCGAGAUUGAAUCUGAGACAUGAAUCCAGGGCCUACGGGGCGCAGCAGCGGCGAAAACUUUACAAAUGCGAGCAAUCGUGAUAAGGAAACCCUGAGUGCCUGUCAAUGCAGGCUGUUCUGGUGUUUAGUCCGCACCAGGAGAAAGGGCGGGGGCAAGACCGGUGCCAGCCGCCCGCGGUAAUACCGGCUGCUCGAGUGAUAGCCACUUUUACUGGGCUUAAAGCGUUCGUAGCUUGGUCGUUAAGUCUCUGGGGAAAUCUUCUGGCUUAACCAGAAGGCGUCUCAGAGAAACUGGCGACCUUGGGACCGGGAGAGGUAAGACGUACUUCGGGGGUAGGAGUGAAAUCUUGUAAUCCCCGAGGGACGACCGAUGGCGAAGGCAUCUUACCAGAACGGCUCCGACAGUGAGGGACGAAAGCUGGGGGAGCAAACCGGAUUAGAUACCCGGGUAGUCCCAGCCGUAAACGAUGUGCGUUAGGUGUGUCAGUGACCACGAGUCACUGAGGUGCCGAAGGGAAACCGUGAAACGCACCGCCUGGGAAGUACGGUCGCAAGGCUGAAACUUAAAGGAAUUGGC